rnacentral:lncRNA from 1 species
CCCUGACAUAGCACUCUUGUCAUACUGAGACUAAGGUAGAAAAAGACACUUCCAAAGGGUGUCAAUGACAAGAGAGAAAUAGACAUAGAGUGGUCACUUCAUUUACCAACCCUGGAACCGCAGACCUCUGGGCUUCCUGGGGCCGCAGUGACUGUGUCCAGUCCUUCCUCACCCCGCUGCAGAGUCAGUCCAGGAGGCCUUUACCCACAGCACUGCCACCUCCCUCCACGACCCCUGUCUUUCUCUUCCCCAGAUUAAACGCUCCCACUUCUCUCCAUUCUUCUUUCUCCACCCCCAGGCCCAUUUCUGCCUCGGUUGCCUGCCUCCAACCACAAUCCAGUUUUUUGGCUCCCAGAGACAGACAUGCCCAGAUCUGAACACCACCCACCUGGAUAAAGAAAAUGGGUACGGCCAAGACCAUAGACCUAGUGAUUGUCAGAUGAACAAUUAGACCCACAGAACCAUCCAAGCUACAGAGGACGCAUUCUGCCUUCCCUUGGAUCCUGUGGUUUGAGGAUGGAGGUCUAGGACCGUGGCAGGCUUUUUGUCCCAUGAGGGAAGGCCAUGGAGCUGAGGAAGGGGAAGAACACACACACCUAAUGGAAUCUCGAGAGAAAGUUCAGACAUCAAAAGACAGAAGCGACAGAGACCCAGAUGGAGUCUCACCCAGCCUGGAGUACAGUAGUAUGAUCUGCAACCUUUGCCUCCCAGGUUCAGGCGAUUCUCCUGUCUCAGCCUCCGGAGUAUCUGGGAUUACAGGCACGUGCCACCACGCCCGGCUAAUUUUUUGUAUUUUUAGUAGAGAUGGGUUUCACCGUGUUAGCCAGGAUGGUCUCGAACUCCUGACCUCGUGAUCUACCCGCCUUGGCCUCCCAAAGUGCUGGGAUUACAGGCAUGAGCUACCGUGCUCGGCCAUGCCUGGCUAAUUUAUAUAUACAUAUAUAUAUAUAUAUAUAUUUUUUUUUUUUUUUUUUUUUUUUUGAGACAGAGUCUUGCUCUGUCACCCAGGUUGGAGUGCAGUGGCAUGAUCUCGGCUCACUGCAAGCUCGCCUCCCAGGUUCACGCCAUUCUCCUGCCUCAGCCUCCUGAGUAGCUGGGACUACAGGCGCCCGCAUGACGCCCGGCUAAUUUUUUGUAUUUUUAGUAGAGACGGGGUUUCACUGUGUUAGCCAGGAUGGUCUCGAUCUCCUGACCUCGUGAUCUGCCCACCUCAGCCUCCGAAAGUGCUGGGAUUACAGACAUGAGCCACCGCACCCAGCCUUAUAUAUAUAUUUUUUAUUAGUGAAGAGGUUUCGCCAUAUUGGCCAGACUGGUCUCGAACUCCUGACCUCAGGUGAUCCACCCACCUCGGCCUCCCAAAGUGCUGGGAUUACAGGUGGGAGCCACCGCACCCUGCCUAAAAUGCAAAAGAUUUUGAAUGGCGAGAAUGGCGACAUGAUGCCACAAGUGGAAAAUUCCACACCUGGCUGCAUGUAAUGGGUUGAAGUCAAAAUGCAGUCAAAAACUUUGUUUCAUGUACAAAAUUAUUAAAAACAUUGUAUAAAAUCACCUUCAGACUAUGUGUAUGUGAAACCUAAGUGAAUUUAAUGGCUAGACUUCAG